rnacentral:rRNA from 1 species
UACGGAGGGUGUGAGCGUUGUCCGGAAUCAUUGGGCGUAAAGGGCGCGUAGGUGGCCACUUCAAGCGUGCGGUGAAAGUCGGGGGCUCAACCCCUGAUCGGCCGUGCGAACUGGGGGGCUGGAGCACUGUAGAGGCAGGCGGAAUUCCGGGUGUAGCGGUGGAAUGCGUAGAGAUCCGGAAGAACACCGGUGGCGAAGGCGGCCUGCUGGGCAGUUUUGCUGACACUGAGGCGCGACAGCGUGGGGAGCAAACAGG